UACGUAGGGUGCGAGCGUUGUCCGGAAUUAUUGGGCGUAAAGAGCUUGUAGGCGGUUUGUCGCGUCUGCUGUGAAAUUUCGGGGCUCAACCCCGAACUUGCAGUGGGUACGGGCAGACUAGAGUGUGGUAGGGGAGACUGGAAUUCCUGGUGUAGCGGUGAAAUGCGCAGAUAUCAGGAGGAACACCGAUGGCGAAGGCAGGUCUCUGGGCCGCAACUGACGCUGAGGAGCGAAAGCAUGGGGAGCGAACAGG
rnacentral:rRNA from 1 species